UGUAGCUUCAGGCUUCCGUUCUCAGAUUUGUAGCUAGAUAGGUUGCGGCUUUCAAGUAUGCCAUUGGGUCGGACGAUCAUCGCACACCUCCCUCUCGUAGCUAGAGUUGAGCUUUACUUUCUUAUAGUUGGGGUUGAGGUUGAGGAUCACACUCAUCUACUUGGCUAGUUAAGCUUUCCUAUCGCAGCGGUUGUGGUGAGUCCUCAUUUAAUUGGGGACUAGUUGUUGAACUUGUUAUUUUUUUUAAAGACUUUGCUAUGUUUCGGGUGAGUUAGGGACAUGUCUUAGCCUCCGCCUAUAUUCAUAAGUAGAGGCAUCUAGUUGGACAAAUGUUUUGAGCUUAUGUUGUCAUGUAUCGUUCUUAAAUUUCUAUUCAUGAUUUAGACUCUCUUAUGAUGCUUUCACUUUUGCUUUACCGUAUGAAUGCUUAUGAUAUGUACAAGAGGCUUGGUUGGAGCCCUUCGAAGUUUCGAUUGCCGUGUUACGAUUAGACCCUAGGUCGGGUCGUGAUAAGAAAAUAUGAAAGUUGUUGGCACUACAGGUAUCUAUGACGAUCUACCUGGUGAUGAAGAAGAAAAGUACAUAACAACCAGGGGGUUUAUAGACUUACAACUAUGGAAGCCAAGGUCGAAGCUAUCAAAGGGAUGGAUACUAUGAUAGGGAUGGACACCGCGAUAAAGCGACUAGCACAACAAGGAUCAAUAAAAAAAUAAUUGGAGUGGUCUUUAUGUGCAUCCUAGAAACAGAGAUAGAGGUGGAGCUAGAGCUAGAGUGAGCAACCCAAGGAUGGAAGAGAUAAGUUUUGCAGAAAAUUAAAUCUACAGAAGCUCGUGUCAAAGAACUAAAGGGAGACAUGUCGAAAAUGACCCCAAUUGUAGAGUCAUACUCAACCUCUAUCAAGUAGUUGGAGCAGCAGAUGGCACAAUUGUCAGCCACGGUAAAUCAAAGGAAGAAUGGUGCACUACCUAGUGACACUGUCCAAAAUCCAAGAAUGGAGAAAUAGUGCGGUUUGAGGAUGUCGUGCCGCGACACUAAAUUAGGUGCUUCAUGGGAGGCUAUCCAUGUGGAUUCUUGAUGAAGUCUGAGUAGUCAGGUAAUCUACUGCUGAUGCCUAGGGCAUUGCAGGUAUAAUUACUUUCCUUGUUUUCAAUUUUGAAGUUUUUGGGUACAUUGGGGACAAUGCACAAAU